rnacentral:misc_RNA from 1 species
CGCACCACGUCUCUGAUGUAAUGCAACAGCAAGCAUACGCUAGUCACAUCUGAACACACACACACACAUGCAUACAUACAUAUAUAUGUGCGCGUGCACAGUUGGCGAAUGUUCUCGGUAACGCGUCUCUUCUUCCCCCACCCGAUUUCUGUGCACACGCGCACGAUGCACGGUGGUGCAUGCCCAGGGAGCGCAGACAUGCGCUGAGAAAGAGACUGCGCGACAUGGGGAAGAAACGGAGGUAGGCAGGCGGUGUACGUGUACGUGUGUGUGUAUAGGCUCAGCAUACAUAUUAUAUUGACUCGUUUUGCGUGAUGUGGGAGUCGUCCCCUUCCUUUUUUGUUUUUUUUUCCAUUCGAGCCUUCGGUGCUCUCUCUCUCGCGCGUGCUGGGGUCUCCCUGUGCGCGUCGCUGCCUUCACCUCUGUAUACUACCUUGUGGACCUUGAACUGCCGCUGCCAAGGUCGUGCACCGAUCGGUCGCGGUGACGAAAC